AGUCACGCUGUAAACGAUGUCGAUUUGGAGUUUGUUGCCUAGAGUGAUGGGCUCCGAAGCUAACGCGAUAAAUCGACCGCUGGGGAGUACGGCCGCAAGGUUAAAACUCAAAUGAAUUGACGGGGGCCCGCACAAGCGGUGGAGCAUGUGGUUUAAUUCGAUGCAACGCGAAGAACCUUACCUGGUCUUGACAUCCAUAGAAUUCUGCAGAGAUGUGGGAGUGCCUUCGGGAACUAUGAGACAGGUGCUGCAUGGCUGUCGUCAGCUCGUGUUGUGAAAUGUUGGGUUAAGUCCCGCAACGAGCGCAACCCUUAUUCUUUGUUGCCAGCGAUUUGGUCGGGAACUCAAAGGAGACUGCCGUUGAUAAAGCGGAGAAAGGUGGGGUCGACGUCAAGUCAUCAUGGCCCUUACGACCAGGGCUACACACGUGCUACAAUGGCGUAUACAAAGGGAAGCGAAGGUGCGAGCUGGAGCGGAUCUCAUAAAGUACGUCUAAGUUCGGAUUGGAGUCUGCAACUCGACUCCAUGAAGUCGGAAUCGCUAGUAAUCGUAGAUCAGAAUGCUACGGUGAAUACGUUCCCGGGCCUUGUACACACCGCCCGUCACACCAUGGGAGUGGGUUGCACCAGAAGUAGAUAGCUUAACCGCGAGGGGGGCGUUUACCACGGUGUGAUUCAUGACUGGGGUGAAGUCGUAACAAGGUAACCA
rnacentral:rRNA from 1 species